CAAUGGGGUUGUUACCAUGCCCGAGGCCUUUAAAUAUUAAUUAUUCACUUGUUCGCCUCCUGCUUUGCUCUUCGUUCAGUCCAGUGCCGUAAGCCUCAACCCCACAUAGCGAUUUUCAGGAAAACCGAAGGAACGAAAAAUAUUAAACUUUUAAAAUCGUGUAAACAUUUUACCUCGUUUCAUGGUUUUCUUAUUUCCCUCUAUCUUUCCCGGAAACUAAACGGGGAUCUACGCGUAUUUAGAAACCUGCAAAACUUGGUCGCAGCACAACACACCAAUAUUUUCAAACACAAGCAAUGGAAGAUUCUGGAAAUGGCCAAACUGAUGUUAUUUACUCACAUUCAAGUGACACAAUGGUGGACUCUAGGCCACACGUAAUGCGAUUACACAGCCAAACUGAAUUGUGAUAAGAGAAAAAAAGAUGUCCAUGGCAUUUUAGAGGAGCCAAACCCUCUCAUCCCAGUUACAAAUUUCCUCAUUCAGCUUCUGCCCCUUUCCUCUCUUUCAUGCCUUUUUCUAUUUUCUCUUUGUGCCUCCACUCUCCUGGCUCCCUUUUUUCUCCCACCAGCCCUUCUUGUCCUUCUGCUGUAACAGAUUUUCCACCUCACCACAUGCUAAUGUUCCUCUGUUUGGACCUUUAUGUUUCCUUUUGUAGACCUUGGUGAUAAUAUGCCUAUAUUAAUGUUACUGAACCAGUAACAUUGCUUGACUUUUUUUGGAAUAGAAGAAAUCCUUUUAUUUGAUUUGAGUGACUCUCGGCGGCGGUGUAACCUACUAUUUGGAAUUUUAUCUUUUUUGUUAUUAUUUAGUUAUUCAUCCAAAUGAAGGUUCACUAUGUCCUUUCUAGUUAAUACUAUUUGUAUGUUUUAAGUUGUAGUCAAGUAUUUCAUAUGUGGUUUGAUGGAUGAGCAAUUUGCUCUCAAAGUCAAAUUUCAGCGAUGGAAUGGGAUAAUUGCGAAAAUAUGAUCCAUAUGAAGACUGUUAAAGUUUAGUUUGUAAUGUGUUUGUUUCUAAGCACAUUCCUCUACUAAUGUCAAGCAUCAUGCUAUUUAUUUUUAUACAAAAUUUUCCAUGUCUUGUUGUCUACUGGCUUGUUCUUCUAAAGAAAACUGAAAAAAGAAAGAGAUUUGCUAUUAUCUCUCUAGUUCUUGGCAUAUGUUAACAUUACCAUUUAACUUUUAAGAGAAUUAGAGUUUGGUCUUGUUCAUCUGUUUGUUAGAUGUAGAAAGAAGUAAUGAAAUCGUCUGAUAUCAUAGAGUUUUUGGACUAUGAAGUUUAUGAAAUCAAGAUAUGUUUUUGCAUCCUGCCUUUGGAGUUAUCAUAAGAGUGAAACAUCCCUAAAACUAAUGGUAAAAAGUUUUUUCUAUCAUGUUACACUGUCUGAAAAGCUUUUCAUUUCACAUUCUACAGAAAAGGCUUAUGUUUUCCCAUGUCAAUUGGAUGGUUUAUGCCUGUUGUAUUUAACAUUUAUUUCUUGGCUAGGAAAAAGAAGGCUUACAUUUUCUGUCCAAUUAUUUUUGAUUGGUUGAUAGUAUAUAACAAGGGAGUUAGGCAUAGUCUGUAUAACACAAUUUUGCUACCCUUUCCUCUCCUUUUUUAUCAAUAAUUUUGCAUUUUGAUCUACUGGCAUUUAUUAUUCAAAGGUUCUAUUGUAAACAUUUUCCUCUUAUUUAUUCUUUGAGUUAGUAAAUAUGGUUUAAGCCUGUGCUGAAGGCAGCUCAAUCUGUUUUCUAUUUGCAAAACAGAGAUGGUUAUUCCUCCACCUGUUAGACCACCAAAAAUCACCAAGUUCCUCAAGCCCUAUGUCCUGAAGAUGCACUUCA